AUGAUCCGUCUGAUGAAGAAGAGAAAUCUCCCUGCAGCUUUCAAAUGUUACUGGAAUUACCAAAAAUUUGAUUCUCUUUCAAAUGAUAACUUGUAUUACAAGAUGGUUAUCCAUGUGCACAAGGAUUCUGCUUUUAGACGUUAUCAGCAAGAGACGAGGAAAAAUCAAGAGUUGUGGCCACUGUACAGAGGUUUCUUCAUUGAUGUAAACCUGUUCAAGGCUGCUGAACUUUCCAAAGACAGUAACGCUGUACCAGAAAAUAUCAAUGGACUUCCGAAUUCAAGAUCGUCAACUAAGGAUGGUCUGGUUGAUGAGGAUUCAAAUUUGAUGGUUAAACUAAAAUUCCUGGCCUAA
rnacentral:rRNA from 1 species